rnacentral:rRNA from 1 species
AUACGGAGGGUGCAAGCGUUGUCCGGAUUUAUUGGGUUUAAAGGGUGCGUAGGCGGUACGCUAAGUCAGUGGUGAAAUCCCGCAGCUCAACUGCGGAACUGCCAUUGAUACUGGCGUACUUGAGUACGGACGAGGUAGGCGGAAUUUAUGGUGUAGCGGUGAAAUGCAUAGAUACCAUAAAGAACACCGAUAGCGAAGGCAGCUUACUAGACCGUAACUGACGCUCAGGCACGAAAGCGUGGGGAGCGAACAGGAUUAGAAACCCUAGUAGUCC